rnacentral:lncRNA from 1 species
CUCAAGGGACUGUGUAGAGCUGGCUUGUAUCCUAUUCCUUUCUCCCUUCCGCAAUCCAAUCUUCAACAGGCAUCCUCUUUUCACAAGAAUCAUUUUUGUUAUCUUGGCCAACAGGUCAAUACAAGUCUCUGGCACAAACGUUUAGGUCAUCCCUCCAACACAAUCACUUCAGCUCUUUUACGUCAGUCACAGAUUUCUUUUUCUUUAGACAAC